rnacentral:rRNA from 1 species
UGCAUAUCAAUAAGCGGAGGAAAAGAAACUAACAAGGAUUCCCCUAGUAGCGGCGAGCGAAGCGGGAAGAGCUCAAAUUUAUAAUCUGGCACCUUCGGUGUCCGAGUUGUAAUCUCUAGAAAUGUUUUCCGCGUUGGACCGCACACAAGUCUGUUGGAAUACAGCGGCAUAGUGGUGAGACCCCCGUAUAUGGUGCGGACGCCCAGCGCUUUGUGAUACAUUUUCGAAGAGUCGAGUUGUUUGGGAAUGCAGCUCAAAUUGGGUGGUAAAUUCCAUCUAAAGCUAAAUAUUGGCGAGAGACCGAUAGCGAACAAGUACCGUGAGGGAAAGAUGAAAAGCACUUUGGAAAGAGAGUUAACAGUACGUGAAAUUGUUGGAAGGGAAACGCUUGAAGUCAGACUUGCUUGCUGAGCAAUCGGUUUGCAGGCCAGCAUCAGUUUUCCGGGAUGGAUAAUGGUAGAGAGAAGGUAGCAGUUUCGGCUGUGUUAUAGCUCUCUGCUGGAUACAUCUUGGGGGACUGAGGAACGCAGUGUGCCUUUGGCGGGGGUUUCGACCUCUUCACACUUAGGAUGCUGGUGGAAUGGCUUUAAACGACCCGUCUUGAAACACGGACC